AGAGAUCAUGGCUCAGAAUCAACGCUGGCGGCGUGCCUAACACAUGCAAGUCGAACGCGGUUACCCCGCAAGGGGUGACUGAGUGGCGAACGGGUGAGUAACACGUGGGUGAUCUACCUUCGAGUGGGGGAUAACGUCCCGAAAGGGACGCUAAUACCGCAUGACGUUCUGGGUUUGAAGACCUGGAAACCAAAGUCGGGGACCGCAAGGCCUGACGCUUGAAGAGGAGCCCGCGCCUGAUUAGCUAGUUGGUGAGGUAAUGGCUCACCAAGGCGACGAUCAGUAGCCGGCCUGAGAGGGCGGACGGCCACACUGGGACUGAGACACGGCCCAGACUCCUACGGGAGGCAGCAGUGGGGAAUUGUUCGCAAUGGGCGCAAGCCUGACGACGCAACGCCGCGUGGAGGAUGAAGGUCUUCGGAUUGUAAACUCCUGUUGAUCGGGAAGAAUAGCCCCUGGGUAAAUAGUCCGGGGGAAUGACGGUACCGAUUGAGGAAGCCACGGCUAACUCUGUGCCAGCAGCCGCGGUAAUACAGAGGUGGCAAGCGUUGUUCGGAAUUACUGGGCGUAAAGGGCGCGUAGGUGGCCUUGUUAGUCAGACGUGAAAUCCCCAAGCUUAACUUGGGAACUGCGUCUGAUACUGCAAGGCUUGAGUUCGGGAGAGGGAUGUGGAAUUCCAGGUGUAGCGGUGAAAUGCGUAGAUAUCUGGAGGAACACCGGUGGCGAAGGCGGCAUCCUGGACCGAAACUGACACUGAAGCGCGAAAGCUAGGGGAGCAAACGGGAUUAGAUACCCCGGUAGUCCUAGCCCUAAACGAUGAGUGCUUGGUGUGGCGGGUAUCGAUCCCUGCCGUGCCGAAGCUAACGCAUUAAGCACUCCGCCUGGGGAGUACGGUCGCAAGG
rnacentral:rRNA from 1 species